GCACGUUAACGUGCACCUUGCAAGUUUCCUCAGCGCCUCCCAUCCAGCGAACGCCCCUCUUCCUCCGGCAGAUCCGUAAGCCUGCCCGCGGGCGGGGAGGGGACUCUCUCCUCCGGCCUUUUCAGUCGUUUUCCCCACGCGGAUCCGGCGGCGGUUCCUCCUACGACAACGAUCUUCUCCGAUUCCCCAGGCAGGUCGUCCGGCCGCCACGCCGGGCUGCAGCAGCGCGCUCUCCUCCCUCCGCAUCGUCUACAGGACUAUGCAUGACAAGUUGGAGACUUGACCAGUCUUAUGUGCAAGACUUGCAAGAUGAUCUCUCCAGUGAUCUGCGUGGGUACACACUGACUGACUGCGUUCCUAGCCUUUACUUCAGAGACCGUAGGAUUUGGUUAAAUUGACUUGCACAAGACAAGGCUUACAGGACUUGGGCACUUGCCAUUGGAUGAUUUGUUUAAUCAUCAAGUUGUGGCAGUUGUAUUUCUGAAUGUUGAAGUUUGGUUCUCUUUCUUUUUAUACAACACUUUGCAAUAAUGUAAUGGUUACGUGUAUCGAUCGAUGCAAAUACCGAAGGGUUGUCCCUCAUUUUCGAGGAAGUAAAACAAAGGGCCCUCAGAAAAUCAGUCAAGCCUAUUACAAAUAUAGGAGUUGAAUUCAUGA